GUAGGCAUAGUUUACCAAAAACACUAGAUUGUGAAUCUAGAAACAGGACCCCAAACACCCUUGCCAACC
rnacentral:tRNA from 2 species